rnacentral:rRNA from 1 species
UUGGCCUACGGGGGGCAGCAGUGGGGAAUAUUGCACAAUGGGGGAAACCCUGAUGCAGCGACGCCGCGUGAGUGAAGAAGUAUUUCGGUAUGUAAAGCUCUAUCAGCAGGGAAGAAAUACUGACCUUACGGUCAGCAGACGGUACCUGACUAAGAAGCCCCGGCUAACUACGUGCCAGCAGCCGCGGUAAUACGUAGGUGGCAAGCGUUAUCCGGAUUUAUUGGGUUUAAAGGGUGCGUAGGUUGUGAGGUAAGUCAGCGGUGAAAUGCCCCCGCUCAACGGGGUGAAGUGCCAUUGAUACUGCC